CCAAAGUGUCAGGAUUACAGGCAUAAGCCACUGCACCCGGCCUCUUUUUUUUGAGACAGAGUCUCGCUCUGUUGCCAGGCUAGAGUGCAGUGGUGUGAUCUCAGCUCACUGCAACCUCCAACUCCCUGGUUCAAACAAUUCUGCCUCAGCCUCCCGAGUAGCUGGGAUUACAGGCACGCACCACCACACCCAGCUAAUUUUUGUAUUUUUAGUAGAGACAGGGUUUCACCAUGUUGGCCAGGAGGGUCUUGAACUCCCAACCUCAGGUGAUCGACCCGCCUCGGCCUCCCAAAGUGCUGGGAUUAUAGGCGUGCACCGCCACACCUGGCCACUCUGCCUCUUAUGUAGACUCUUAUCCCCAGGUGACAAGAAUAAAAUCAGUAUGCGUCAGAAAUGUAUAAUUAUAAGACCUAAUUUCAUCUACUUGUCAUUGGUGCCCACUGGCCACUCGUCUUUUUUGUCCCCAUCUAUUAGGCGAUGCAGGAGAUGUGGAGCUGGGGCCUCAGCUCCAGGGGAGGAGGUAGGGCAUUGGCACUCUAGGGGCUGGAUGCUGGGGGAGGGUUGCUGGAAUUCAGAAGCAACUUUGAAAUUCCCAAUCACGAACAGUCUCAUGUUCUGAGGAUGUUUACACAUAGAAGAUGCCUAAUACUUUUUGUUGUCUAUAACAGUUUUAUUAGAAGAGUGUGUCUGAAGUGGCAGAACCAAGGUAAAGAGGGUCUAAAGAAACACUUUGAUGGAUUAAGAUUGGAAUGAAGUUUGGCAGAAAAGAAACUUCCCGUAUCCAUCUAAGUCAAAGUAUCUGGUGAGGAGUAAAGAGUACAAAACAGUAAAAUUCUCUGUGGUAGUCCAGGGUGGACUGUUCAGUGGACUUCCUUCACUGCAGGAAGAGCUUUGCAAAUAUCGGUGGGGGGGAGUUUCUACCACGGAUGCAUUCUAAAAUGGGCGCCUGUGGGCAAGGCAUUCGCAAUGAAUUGAAAUACCGUGCAUGACUUACUUGUUGUUUUGUUUGCUCUGAAUUUCGUUGCUGCUUAUUAUGGUACCUUUGUGUGAAGGAUAAUUUAGAGGAGGUAGAGACAUAAGGGAAAGGAAAGGAGAAAGGGGUACCAGAAUAGGGAGGCAAAUGGUUGAGCGGGGCGUACCCGUUCCUAUUUGUUUUGAGUUGUGCCUCCCACUUGGGACUAAUUCUCCAUUAACAUCGUGUUUUCCCGAUGGCACACUCUAGGGUGGCUUAGGAGAGCAGCUCUCUCCGAGUCAGCUCAUGGAUGCUGUUUCAGCUCAGUGGAGGACUUCAGAAGCAAGCUGAAAUGGAACUGGUGUACCAGUAGGGGGAUGGGAAGAAAGGACACUAGUGAAAGAAAUGUGGACGGGUGUGUCUUCAGGUAUAUUAACAGGUCCAGAGCAUGGAGUCCAAAGAAGAAAAUGCACAGAUGCUAUUGCAAAAGGCAGGAGGCACAGAAACCAAUGUGAUCCACCAGUAAAUAAAAACAAGGUGUGUA